GGUGCAUGGUUGUCGUCAGCUCGUGUAGUGAGAUGUUGGGUUAAGUCCCGCAACGAGCGCAACCCUUGAUCUUAGUUGCCAGCAUUCAGUUGGGCACUCUAAGGUGACUGCCGGUGACAAACCGGAGGAAGGUGGGGAUGACGUCAAAUCAUCAUGCCCCUUAUGACCUGGGCUACACACGUGCUACAAUGGGCAGAACAAAGGGCAGCGAAGCCGCGAGGCUAAGCCAAUCCCACAAAUCUGUUCUCAGUUCGGAUCGCAGUCUGCAACUNGACUGCGUGAAGCUGGAAUCGCUAGUAAUCGCGGAUCAGCAUGCCGCGGUGAAUACGUUCCCGGGCCUUGUACACACCGC
rnacentral:rRNA from 1 species